AGAGUGUUUUUUCUAUAUUUCUAAACUAAAAAGCCUUCAAAAAAUGUAAUUAAUGUUUUUAAAAUUCAUAAUUUUCAUUAUUAGUUGAAAAAAGUGCAUAGAAAAUAUAAAAAUACAUUUUUUUAAAACAAUUUUUUUCUAAAACAUGUAUCUUUUUGAAACGGAGGGAGUAUUGUUUAGACAUCUCGUUUCAUAUUCAAGAUCUAACGGUUCACAAUACUUAAUUAGCCAUAUUUUGCAUUUUUGUUCACUAAGUUAAUUUAAUAAUUAUAUUUGUAUAAAUAUAUAUGUAUAUAAUAUUCAAACUACAAUAAAAAUAGAAAAUAUUUAGAACAGAAAUGUGGUUAUUUGUCAUUGUAGGUUAGUAUUGUAUUUUAGUUAAUGUCAUUAAGAAAGCUGCCUCCACGAACUUAAACGGCUCUUGUAAUUUACAAAAGGAUACUAAAUAUUAUGAAUAAAUGGUAGUAUAUCCUAAGAUGUAAAUGAAAAUACGAAACCGUAAGAUGUUUUUAUUUUUCAUAAGGAAAGAAAAACUAUUAAAAAUGAUGUGGCAACCAAGAGAUGAUGUUAAUCAGCUCGGCUUGAAUAAUUCGGCUGAGAGGACAAGUGCGAAAUUUUUGGCAGCACGUGUUGACUGACGAGCAGACACGCACGGGAUUUUUAUCUCCUCAACCGCACUUCCCAUAUUUCUGUCCGAAAUUUAGAUGGUUAGUUGUGAUCCCUAGCCUGUGCUGACGUGGAAGCUUCUGGUUGGUACGUUUUAACAAACUCUAGUGCGCGCUGUUUUGGUCGGAGCCAAAUCGGGUUGGUUCCGUCCAAUUUGUCACGAGAAAGACUCAUUGUGUGGUCUCUGUUAAGGUUGUAGUCACCUAAUUAUAUUGCAAAGUCGUAAGAUUUCGUUUUCUAAUGUAGUACUAUUUACUUUUCUCGGUUGGGUCCAUUGGCCAUACUAAUUUCCGUGGUGAGGAGAGGAACUCGUAGUGCCUCAUCAAAGUCGGUUCCUAGUACAAAUUCGUUUACUAAAACUAUCAAAGUCAGCACCAAUCAUUUUCCGCCGCCAGGAAUGUUAAUGGGCUUUUAUCAAUUUUAAUGGGCUUCUUUUAUUGGGCUUGAUAGUUAUGAGAUUCUUCUCACAACGAUGCCGUUUUGUGCAGCGACGAACGGGUUUCUGCCAGAGAAAGAUAGUAAUUUUAAAUAUCUAAUCGAAUUAAUUUUCAUGCGAAUUUUUUCUUCGAUUUCGUCAUGUGCGUUAAUUCAUGAUUAUCAGAUAGUGUUUUGUUUAAAUUUUUGUUUUGGAAGGGAAACAAGACAGAGAUUGUGAUCUGCAGCUAUGAUGAUCAUAUCCUUGUGAGUGUCUCUGUAUCUGUACUUCGCUUGAUGUUUGACGUCACUCUUAUGAAACUCCACACAACACUUUGUUUCCAGGUCAUAGCAACACAGAUUGGAGCCAUGGGGACUAUAUUGCACGCAAGGUCUCUCUCUCACUCAAAUAUAAAUUUUAUACUUCCUUGUACUAUUUCUUGAGGAGUGAACUUGAGAGUUGUUGACUUGAUCACGUUUUACAUGUGAUAGUUUUAAUUAUUGUUCAUGCUUCUAAGGUUGUCAUGAGGAAUGAAGUUGAGUGUUCUUGAUUUUUUUUUUUUAAUUUGUAAUUUUGUUCAUAAUUCUAAUAUAGGUUGUGCACAUCUGAGUUAUAUAUAAUGUUUCAAACGGGUGUGUCUUUGGUGACAGGAAGGAAGAAGGGAUGUCUGUUGAACCAACAUUUAUAUAGAAUCCACGUUUAUAUAGAAUCUACGCCUUACUUAUGCCCACUAUAUUCUUAAGCCAAUGCUGGUAGCAACUGCUCGAAGACUCAUUGAUCACAUAAGUUCUCAUGUUCCCUCGAAGCCUUUGAUUCUCUCGCUUGGUCUCAAUGAUCAUUCUUCGGAGACAUUGAAGGAAAUAGAAGCAGCUGUGAUCGAUAAUCGCCUAUGGUAAUUUGAUAAUGAAAAGAUGUUUUAUGUGUUUGGUUGAUGUAACUAGUAAGUUGUGGUAAUUUGUUUCUAUAAGUUCGGUAAUUCAACGAUAUCAAAGACCUUGCUUCUAGUAAAAAGGUUGCCAAUUUUCCUCU